rnacentral:rRNA from 1 species
ACGAACGCUGGCGGCGUGCUUAACACAUGCCAGUCGAACGGAAAGGCCCUGCUUUUGUGGGGUGCUCGAGUGGCGAACGGGUGAGUAACACGUGAGUAACCUGCCCUUGACUUUGGGAUAACUUCAGGAAACUGGGGCUAAUACCGGAUAGGAGCUCCUGCUGCAUGGUGGGGGUUGGAAAGUUUCGGCGGUUGGGGAUGGACUCGCGGCUUAUCAGCUUGUUGGUGGGGUAGUGGCUUACCAAGGCUUUGACGGGUAGCCGGCCUGAGAGGGUGACCGGCCACAUUGGGACUGAGAUACGGCCCAGACUCCUACGGGAGGCAGCAGUGGGGAAUAUUGCACAAUGGGCGGAAGCCUGAUGCAGCAACGCCGCGUGCGGGAUGACGGCCUUCGGGUUGUAAACCGCUUUCGCCUGUGACGAAGCGAGAGUGACGGUAAUGGGUAAAGAAGCACCGGCUAACUACGUG